rnacentral:rRNA from 1 species
AGUGAACGCUGGCGGUAGGCCUAACACAUGCAAGUCGAACGGCAGCACAGGAGAGCUUGCUCUCUGGGUGGCGAGUGGCGGACGGGUGAGGAAUACAUCGGAAUCUACUCUGUCGUGGGGGAUAACGUAGGGAAACUUACGCUAAUACCGCAUACGACCUACGGGUGAAAGCAGGGGAUCUUCGGACCUUGCGCGAUUGAAUGAGCCGAUGUCGGAUUCGCUAGUUGGCGGGGUAAAGGCCCACCAAGGCGACGAUCCGUAGCUGGUCUGCGAGAAUGAUCAGCCACACUGGAACUGAGACACAGUCCAGAGUCCUACGGGAGGAAGCAGUGGGGAAUAUUGGAAAAUGGGCGCAAGCCUGAGCCAGCCAUACCGCGGGGGUGAAGAAGGCCUUCGGGUUGUAAAGCCCUUUUGUUGGGAAAGAAAUCCAGCUGGCUAAUACCCGGUUGGGAUGACGGUACCCAAAGAAUAAGCACCGGCUAACUUCGUGCCAGCCGCCGCAGUAA